GAUGAACGCUAGCUACAGGCUUAACACAUGCAAGUCGCGGGGUAACGAGAGGGAAGCUUGCUUUCCUUGUCGACGACCGGCGCACGGGUGAGUAACGCGUAUCCAACCUGCCCAUUACCACGGGAUACCCCGUCGAAAGGCGGCCUAAUACCGUAUGCAGUCGUCAGAUGACAUCAGAGGACGACGAAAGGAUUGGCGGUAAUGGAUGGGGAUGCGUCUGAUUAGGUAGUUGGAGGGGUAACGGCCCACCAAGCCAUCGAUCAGUAGGGGUUCUGAGAGGAAGGUCCCCCACAUUGGAACUGAGACACGGUCCAAACUCCUACGGGAGGCAGCAGUGAGGAAUAUUGGUCAAUGGGCGCGAGCCUGAACCAGCCAAGUAGCGUGAGGGAUGACGGCCCUAUGGGUUGUAAACCUCUUUUAUGCGGGAAUAAAAUGUUUGACGUGUCAUACAUUGUAGGUACCGCAAGAAUAAGGACCGGCUAAUUCCGUGCCAGCAGCCGCGGUAAUACGGAAGGUCCAGGCGUUAUCCGGAUUUAUUGGGUUUAAAGGGAGCGUAGGCCGCAAGUCAAGCGUGUUGUGAAAUGCAGGGGCUCAACCUCUGGAUUGCAGCGCGAACUGGCAUGCUUGAGUACGCACGAGGUAGGCGGAAUUUGUGGUGUAGCGGUGAAAUGCUUAGAUAUCACGAAGAACUCCAAUUGCGAAGGCAGCUUACCGGAGCGCAACUGACGCUGAAGCUCGAAAGUGCGGGUAUCGAACAGGAUUAGAUACCCUGGUAGUCCGCACGGUAAACGAUGGAUGCCCGCUGUUGGUCCGAAUGGGUCAGCGGCCAAGCGAAAGCGUUAAGCAUCCCACCUGGGGAGUACGCCGGCAACGGUGAAACUCAAAGGAAUUGACGGGGGCCCGCACAAGCGGAGGAACAUGUGGUUUAAUUCGAUGAUACGCGAGGAACCUUACCCGGGCUUGAAUUGCAGACGAACGUUCCAGAGAUGGUCCGGCCCUUCGGGGCGUCUGUGAAGGUGCUGCAUGGUUGUCGUCAGCUCGUGCCGUGAGGUGUCGGCUUAAGUGCCAUAACGAGCGCAACCCCUCUCCUUAGUUGCCAUCAGGUCAAGCUGGGCACUCUGGGGACACUGCCACCGUAAGGUGUGAGGAAGGUGGGGAUGACGUCAAAUCAGCACGGCCCUUACGUCCGGGGCUACACACGUGUUACAAUGGCGCGUACAGAGGGUCGGCCGCCGGCAACGUCGGUCAAAUCCAUAAAACGCGUCCCAGUUCGGACUGGGGUCUGCAACCCGACCCCACGAAGCUGGAUUCGCUAGUAAUCGCGCAUCAGCCAUGGCGCGGUGAAUACGUUCCCGGGCCUUGUACACACCGCCCGUCAAGCCAUGAAAGCCGUGGGUGCCUGAAGUCCGUGACCGCAAGGAUCGGCCUAGGGCAAAACCGGUGAUUGGGGCU
rnacentral:rRNA from 1 species